rnacentral:misc_RNA from 1 species
CAGAGUUGCAAGACUCCCUAAACCAUUGUGAACCUACCUUCUACCGUUGCUUCGGCGGGCGGGCCCAGCGCCCCCCCCCGGCCCCCCGCGGGCGCCCGCCGGAGGAUACCCAAACUCUUGACAUUAGUGGCCUCUCUGAGUAUUCUUUACUGAAUAAGACA